rnacentral:rRNA from 1 species
CCUACGGGAGGCAGCAGUGGGGGAUAUUGCACAAUGGGGGAAACCCUGAUGCAGCGACGCCUCGUGAGUGAAGAAGUAUUUCGGUAUGUAAAGCUCUAUCAGCCGGGAAGACAAUGACAGUACCUGACCAAGCAGCCCCGGCUCACUACGUGCCAGCAGCCCCGGUUAUCAGUAUGGGGCAAGCGUUAUCCGGAUUUACUGGGUGUAAAGGGAGCGUAGACGGUUAUGUAAGUCUGGAGUGAAAGCACGGGGCCCAACCCCUGGAGUGCUGUUGAAACUGUGUAACUUGAGUACAGGAGGGGCAGGCGGAAUGCCUGGUGUAGCGGUGAAAUGCGUAGAUAUCAGGAGGAACACCGGCGGCGAAGGCGGCCUGCGGGACUGAAACUGACGUUGAGGCUCGAAAGUGUGGGGAGCAAACAGGAUUAGAUACCCCUGUAGUC